AUGGUGACAUGCUCAGACCUCCCAUUUGAUGAAACACAAUGGAUCAUCCGGAUUCGUCGAAUCCUUGAAGAGGAGAUCGAGCUAGGCGAUGAGCAGCCCGUCUCCACAUUCGAUGUCCUCAAGCCCCUGUUGUGCACUAAGCCGGAAGCGUAUGUGCCUCAGCUGGUGGCCUUGGGCCCUUACCACCAUUGUCGUGAAGACUGUGACAUGGAGAUGUACAAGCUCUCUGCAGCCAAGAGAGCCCAAAGCCACCUGCCAAGUAAGAACUUGCAACAACUUGUGGACGUCUUUGCCACAUUCGAGCACCGGAUUCGUUCUCACUAUCACAGGCAACUCAAUCUCACCAACGAGACACUGGCAUGGAUGAUGGCGAUCGACGUGUCAUUUCUUCUCGAGUUCCUGCAGACUUUCUGCGAGACCAAAAACCGGAGGACAACACAAAGGAUGCCCUCGAGGAUGUCGCAUCUGGUUGACCCAUCUCAUAGAACAUCUGUACACAGCAUGCUGCUACGUGACAUCGUGAUGCUGGAGAACCAGAUUCCAAUGUUUCUUGUCGUAAAAGUAGUCGAGAUGUGGUGCUCGUCAGGCCAUGGCGUGCCACGGCCUAAUCUGAGCUCCAUUUUGUCAGGGUUCUUUCAGGAGGUCUGCUUGCUCAAGGGGAUAAGCUCUCCAUGCACCGACGCCACACGACACGCCCACUUGCUAGAUUUCCUAUACUCUAACAUGUUGCCAUGUGGUUGUGUGGAAGAGUCGGAUGGUGCAACGGAAGAAGCCGGAGAUGGGUUGUGUGACCACCCGCAGAGAUCGACUAUGAGUUCAAUAACGGAAUUGCUCGUGAAGCGUGGCUUGAAGUUGGCGUCGUUGGUGACAGAUUUCAUGGUGAGGAUGUUUCUAAAGUUCCUAGCCGCUCUUCCAUGCCUGUCAAUGGUCAGGCAACCCAUCGAGCAGCUAGCUACUCAACGAGGCGCCCCCGAUGUUUAG
rnacentral:rRNA from 1 species